rnacentral:rRNA from 1 species
CCUACGGGGGGCAGCAGUAGGGAAUAUUGCUCAAUGGGGGAAACCCUGAACCAGCAACGCCGCGUGGAGGAUGAAGGUUUUAGGAUUUUAAACUCCUUUUUUUAGAGAAGAUAAUUACGGUAUCUCACGAAUAAGCACCGGCUAACUCCGUUCCAGCAGCCGCGGUAAUACGGAGGGUGCAAGCGUUAUUCGGAAUCACUGGGCGUAAAGCGUGCGCAGGCGGGCUUGUAAGUCAGAUGUGAAAUCCUGUGGCUUAACUACAGAACUGCAUUUGAAACUAUGAGUCUAGAGUGUGGUAGAGGUAGGUGGAAUUCUUGGUGUAGGGGUAAAAUCCGUAGAUAUCAAGAGGAAUACUCAUUGCGAAGGCGACCUACUAGACCAUUACUGACGCUGAUGCACGAAAGCGUGGGGAGCAAACAGGAUUAGAUACCCCUGUAGUC